rnacentral:rRNA from 1 species
AAGUCGAGCGGCAGGGUGCAGCAAUGCGCCUGAGAGCGGCGGACUGGUGAGUAGCGCGUGGGUAACCUACCCUUGGGGAUGGGGAUAGCCAUUAGAAAUAGUGGGUAAUACCGAAUACGGUUGCGAGGCAGGGGCUUUGCAACGAAAGGGGCUUCGGCUCCGCCCGGGGAUGGGCCCGCGUUCCAUUAGCUAGUUGGUGGGGUAAGGGCCUACCAAGGCGAUGAUGGGUAGCCGGCCUGAGAGGGUGAACGGCCACACUGGGACUGAGAUGCGGCCCAGACUCCUACGGGAGGCAGCAGCUAAGAAUAUUCCGCAAUGGACGAAAGUCUGACGGAGCGACGCCGCGUGGAUGAAGAAGGCCGAAAGGUUGUAAAGUUCUUUUGUUGCUGAAGAAUAAGCGGGGGAGGGAAUGCCCUCGUGAUGACGUUAGGCGACGAAUAAGCCCCGGCUAAUUACGUGCCAGCAGCCGCGGUAACACGUAAGGGGCGAGCGUUGUUCGGAAUUAUUGGGCGUAAAGGGCGCGUAGGCGGUUAUGUAAGCCUGGCGUGAAAUGGUAGGGCUUAACCCUAUCACGGCGUUGGGAACUGUGUAACUUGAGUCAUGGAGGGGGAGUUGGAAUUCCGCGUGUAGGGGUGAAAUCUGUAGAUAUGCGGAAGAACACCGGUGGCGAAGGCGAACUUCUAGCCAAUGACUGACGCUGAGGCGCGAAAG